UACGUAGGGUGCGAGCGUUGUCCGGAAUUACUGGGCGUAAAGAGCUCGUAGGUGGUUUGUCGCGUUGUUCGUGAAAACUCACAACUCAAUUGUGGGCGUGCGGGCGAUACGGGCAGACUGGAGUACUGCAGGGGAGACUGGAAUUCCUGGUGUAGCGGUGGAAUGCACAGAUAUCAGGAGGAACACCGGUGGCGAAGGCGGGUCUCUGGGCAGUAACUGACGCUGAGGAGCGAAAGCGUGGGGAGCGAACAGG
rnacentral:rRNA from 1 species